rnacentral:rRNA from 1 species
UGCCAGCCGCUCAGAAACUUAAAGGAAUUGACGGGGGCCCGCACAAGCGUGGAGCAUGUGGUUUAAUUCGAUGAUACGCGAGGAACCUUACCUGGGCUCAAAUGUAUGUUGACGUAUUCUGAAAGGGAUACUUCUUCGGACAAUAUACAAGGUGCUGCAUGGUUGUCGUCAGCUCGUGCCGUGAGGUGUCGGGUUAAGUCCCAUAACGAGCGCAACCCCUACCUUUAGUUGCCAUCAGGUAAUGCUGGGGACUCUAAAGGAACUGCCUACGCAAGUAGUGAGGAAGGCGGGGAUGACGUCAAAUCAGCACGGCCCUUACGUCCAGGGCUACACACGUGCUACAAUGGCCGAUACAGAGGGCAGCUACCUGGUGACAGGAUGCAAAUCUCCAAAGUCGGUCUCAGUUCGGAUCGGAGUCUGCAACCCGACUCCGUGAAGUUGGAUUCGCUAGUAAUCGCGCAUCAGCCAUGGCGCGGUGAAUACGUUCCCGGGCCUU